rnacentral:lncRNA from 1 species
ACUUUUGCAUCCUUCGGCCUCUGGCGUGCCUGCCAUGACGUCAUAGCUCUGCGGAGGUGGAAGUUGGGGAGCUUUGAGCCUCCUCUGUAGAAUGGAAACUCUGUACCCCUGCUUGUCUUAGGACCUCAUGGAUCCCAGGGGGACCAAGAGAGGAGCUGAGAAGACAGAGGUAGCUGAGCCUCGGAACAAACUACCUCGUCCAGCACCUUCUCUGCCCACAGACCCUGCCCUCUACUCUGGGCCCUUUCCUUUCUACCGGCGCCCUUCGGAACUGGGCUGCUUCUCCCUGGAUGCUCAACGCCAGUACCAUGGAGAUGCCCGAGCCCUGCGCUACUAUAGCCCACCCCCCACUAACGGUCCAGGCCCCAACUUUGACCUCAGAGACGGAUACCCGGAUCGAUACCAGCCCCGGGACGAGGAGGUCCAGGAAAGGCUGGACCACCUG